rnacentral:tRNA from 4 species
GGGGGUGUAGCUCAGUUGGUUAGAGCACGUGCCUGUCACGCACGGGGCCGAGGGUUCGAGUCCCUUCACUCCCGCCA